rnacentral:rRNA from 1 species
GAAUCUUAGACAAUGGGCGCAAGCCUGAUCUAGCGAUGCCGCGUGAGUGAUGAAGGCCUUAGGGUCGUAAAGCUCUUUCGCCAGGGAUGAUAAUGACAGUACCUGGUAAAGAAACCCCGGCUAACUCCGUGCCAGCAGCCGCGGUAAUACGGAGGGGGUUAGCGUUGUUCGGAAUUACUGGGCGUAAAGGGCGCGUAGGCGGCGCAUUAAGUCAGGUGUGAAAGCCCUGGGCUCAACCCAGGAAUAGCACUUGAUACUGAUGCGCUUGAAUUCGGGAGAGGAUGACGGAAUUCCCAGUGUAGAGGUGAAAUUCAUUGAUAUUGGGAAGAACACCAGUGGCGAAGGCGGUCAUCUGGCCCGUAAUUGACGCUGAGGCGCGAAAGCGUGGGGAGCAAACAG